rnacentral:pre_miRNA from 1 species
GAAAUACUCCCUCCGAUCCUAAAUUGUUGUCGAAAUAUUACAUGUAUCUGGACACCUUUUAAGAAUAGAUACAUUCAUAUUUGGGCAAAUUUGAGACAAGAGUUUAGGAUCGGAGGGAGUACAUA